rnacentral:rRNA from 1 species
UACGGGAGGCAGCAGUGGGGAAUUUUGGACAAUGGGCGAAAGCCUGAUCCAGCAAUGCCGCGUGAGUGAAGAAGGCCUUCGGGUUGUAAAGCUCUUUUGUCAGGGAAGAAACGGUGAGGGCUAAUAUCCCUUGCUAAUGACGGUACCUGAAGAAUAAGCACCGGCUAACUACGUGCCAGCAGCCGCGGUAAUACGUAGGGUGCAAGCGUUAAUCGGAAUUACUGGGCGUAAAGCGUGCGCAGGCGGUUUUGUAAGUCUGUCGUGAAAUCCCCGGGCUCAACCUGGGAAUUGCGAUGGAGACUGCAAGGCUAGAAUCUGGCAGAGGGGGGUAGAAUUCCACGUGUAGCAGUGAAAUGCGUAGAGAUGUGGAGGAACACCGAUGGCGAAGGCAGCCCCCUGGGUCAAGAUUGACGCUCAUGCACGAAAGCGUGGGGAGCAAACAGGAUUAGAUACCCUGGUAGUCCACGCCCUAAACGAUGUCUACUAGUUGUCGGGUUUUAAUUAACUUGGUAACGCAGCUAACGCGUGAAGUAGACCGCCUGGGGAGUACGGUCGCAAGAUUAAAACUCAAA